UCCUAAAAUUUCAAAUAUAAGAAGCCAGAACUACCGUCAAAUUCUAGAUAAAUAUGAAAAGCAAGAAUUACUGCCAAAUUCCAGGCUGACUGAGAAUAUUAUCGUACAAAUAUGGAUUAUCCAGAAGUUUAAUGGCUCACAAAAUUCCCGUGUAAGCUUCGAGUACAGUUCCGUAACGCAUUGUUGCCUUGUAUUUGAAGACUCGGUACAAUACUUACUGUGCUUUGAAAAUGGCGGAUAAAGAAUUAUCGUAUUAGCUUCAUAAGCAGUUAGGUCUAAGUGUGGACCUAAAAAGGGAGACCUAUUCAAAUUUUUGUACCUGGUGCAGGUCAAAUGCAAUAUUUCUCGGACGCGGUUGUAUUGAAUGAUUAAAACGUAGGAUCAACGCUCAAACAGUUGCGCCUUGCAUCAGUGAGAAUUCGAGCUACUCCAUUACUUUAAGGGAAGCUUCUCCACACAGAUUUAAUUGUCAUUUUGUACCGGUAAAAAGACGAAUUCGCGUCUUAAGAAAAUGGCAUAAUUGAUUUUGUUUUCCACUUUCUCUGCCCUAUAUCAAUGUGACUUCAUCUUAUUUAUAUAAAAGGUAUAUUUACCGGUCAAAAUGAGUUUUGACUGUUAAACUGGAUUAGGUUUAAGAAUAUACAAUCACU